rnacentral:lncRNA from 1 species
GAUGUGCAUUUCCAAAGGUAUCUGAAUGAAGUGAAGCGAAUUUUCCCCUAUUUCAACAAAGAAAAUUUGUCAGUUAAAAACUUAGUGGUGGCUUGCAGCUCUAGGCUUCUCAGGUAUCUGCCCCAGCAUUCGUUCCUUUCAUCUUUGUUCCCAAAUCGCUAACACUUUCCGUGUCUUGCCGCAUCAUUGACCCGGAUCCAGCUUGAGGGAAAUGAGUUCUGACUCAAACAAUGGGUUUCCAUUUUACCAUGCCCCUGAGGUGUGCUCUUUUCCCAAAUCUGAAUGCUUCUACGAAUCCAAUAGCCUGUCGGUUGAUAGACUUCUUUUGCUUCGUAUUGAAUUACGAUCAUAUUUCUACCUGUGCUAUUCCUUGGCUUUUCUCAUAUAAUUGGAAAGACUGGUAGUAAAUUUUGAAAUCCUUUCUCGCUUGUUUUGACACAGACUUGACUUAAAAUGUAAAGAAAAUGAUGGUGACUUUUAUUUUUGAUAAAUGACAUAAAGAAGACAAAAACAUAAAUAUGUAAAUGAAAGAAAAGGGCAAUGUCCCAUAUUCAAAAAGAAAACUUAUCUGAAUACGACAACCAACUCCAAUGAGUAUGACAUGCAUUUUGGAUUGAGCUGCCUGAUCUUCCUAUCCAGACUCUCCAUUUGUUGUUGAGUUCGUACCUUUUGCCACUGAGUCGCUUCUUCAAAUCCAUUGGACUCAUACAUCACAUUCAAUUGACGACAUCUUAAAUGACUUUUGCCAACAAAUCCCUUUCUUUUUGCUUUUCACUUUUCUCUUGAACUCUCCAUCGCCUUACGGUGCCCGUGAGGGUUUUCACCAAUAAGACUCUCUCAUUUUUAUUUCUCUCCACUCACAAUCGCCUUAUGGUGCCUGCAAAGGUUUUCACCAAUAAGACUCUCUCAUUUUAUUUCUCUCCGCUCACCAUCGCCUUAUGGUGCCUGCAAAGGUUUUCACCAAUAAGACUCUCUCAGUUUUGUAUUUCUUUCCUGAUUUCUUAUGCUGAGGGAGACGAGCGUUACCUCACAAUGUAUUAUCAUAUCCGUUGCAUGUUAGCCUUAACAUUAUCAAAAAUUGAUCUGAAGGACUUUCUUUGGUUGNNNN